UACGUAGGGGGCAAGCGUUGUCCGGAUUUAUUGGGCGUAAAGAGCGUGUAGGCGGCCAGGUAGGUCAGCUGUGAAAACUCGAGGCUCAACCUCGAGACGCCGGUUGAAAACCAUCUGGGCUAGAGUCCGGAAGAGGAGAGUGGAAUUCCUGGUGUAGCGGUGAAAUGCGCAGAUAUCAGGAAGAACACCCGUGGCUAAGGCGGCUCUCUAGUACGGUACUGACGCUGAGACGCGAAAGCGUGGGGAGCGAACAGG
rnacentral:rRNA from 1 species